GAUGAACGCUGGCGGCGUGCUUAACACAUGCAAGUCGAACGGAAAGGCCCAAGCUUGCUUGGGUGCUCGAGUGGCGAACGGGUGAGUAACACGUGGGUGAUCUGCCCUGCACUUUGGGAUAAGCCUGGGAAACUGGGCCUAAUACCGGAUAGGACCAUCGUUUAGUGUCGGUGGUGGAAAGUUUUUCGGUGUGGGAUGAGCUCGCGGCCUAUCAGCUUGUUGGUGGGGUAAUGGCCUACCAAGGCGUCGACGGGUAGCCGGCCUGAGAGGGUGUACGGCCACAUUGGGACUGAGAUACGGCCCAGACUCCUACGGGAGGCAGCAGUGGGGAAUAUUGCACAAUGGGCGCAAGCCUGAUGCAGCGACGCCGCGUGGGGGAUGACGGCCUUCGGGUUGUAAACUCCUUUCGCCAAGGACGAAGCGUUUUGUGACGGUACUUGGAGAAGAAGCACCGGCUAACUACGUG
rnacentral:rRNA from 1 species